UUAUCACUAGAUCCAUCUCACACUAAGCACCUGGGAAUUUUAAUCGCGUCCGUUCUAAAUCCUAAGCAAGUCAUUCGCAACCGCUAAAGCCAUUAAAUCCACGAGUAGCGUUAAAAAAAAGGAAGGAAAUGGGGAAACCCAGAGAAGCACAGGACUCGAGGACGGCGUCAGCGCGGGCAGCCUCAGUAAGGCUUCAUCGGCCAGGCUGGUCAGGCUCCACACAAAAGCAGCCCGACAGGCCGCUACGCUCUACCCAAGAGAAAAGACGGAAUGAAUCCGGGAUCUGCGAGACAGCAGACCGCAAGAGGGUCAGAAAAGUUGUCAGGCUGAGUGAGCAAAUUGGUAGCAGGCUGCAGGAAUGAGGCCUCCUGGGGAACCUUCGCUCAUUUUUCCAGGGCUUGUUCCGGCCUGUCAUAAGGGUCAUGUGUCCUCUCUACCAGCAUGGGACAAAGGCUACCAGGACGGGGACACCAGUGAGCACUUCCUCUGAGCUUUAAAGUUGCUCAAUUCUCUGACCAGAAUUCACUGUGCUGGACUUAAUGGUGUAGUAUAAAUACAGCACUUGGCUCAGAAGGGAGGAUUUCUGAGACAGGCAUCUUCUUCUGACUCGACCAAAGAGGAAGCCCCCACCUGGGUUCCGCAGCCAAAACCCAUCAGCUCCAGGUCUCCAGGAAACACUGAGAUAAAGCGGCAUUCCCGGAUGUUUCUCGAUGUCUGAGGGGAGCCAAGGAAGCCAGCACUGGGAAAAACACAUGUCCCAUUCAGCACAGAAAACGCUAUCCAAUCGCUUCAUGCCUGAUGUGGGAAUAAGGCAGAGGCUGGCAAGGCCUGUAACAGGACCCUGCUCAUGUAAUGGGACCCUGCUUGAGGCUGGCGAGGCCUGUUACAGGACCCUGCUCAUGUAACGGAUCCUGCUCGAGGCUGGCAAGGACUAUUACGGGACCUUGCUCAUGUAACAGGACCCUGCUCGAGCCUGGUAAGGCCUGUUACAGGACCCUGCUCAUGUAACGGAUCCUGCUCGAGGCUGGCGAGGACUAUUACGGGACCCUGCUCAUGUAACGGGACCCUGUUCAAGCCUGGCGAGGCCUGUUACAGAACCCUGCUCAUGUAAUGGGACCAUGCUCGAGGCUGGCGAGGACUAUUAAGGGACUCUGCUCAUGUAACGGUUCCUGCUUGAGACUGGCAAGGACUAUUACAGGACCCUGCUCAUGUAACGGGACCCUGUUCGAGCCUGGCGAAGCCUGAUACAGAACCCUGCUCAUGUAAUGGGACCAUGCUCGAGGCUGGCGAGGACUAUUAAGGGACUCUGCUCAUGUAACGGUUCCUGCUUGAGGCUGGCAUGGACUAUUACGGGACCCUGCUCAUGUAACGGGCAGGAAGAGUUCUGUAACCUAGUGAAUCAGGUAACAAAACGUCUGUAAUGCUUGAUUUUGUAGCGGUGGGCUGAUGUGAAGACAUGGACCUUUCCACAUGGGACCCAGUGCGCUAGUCAUUGAUGUUGUCAUACUGAUAGCACGCCUCUCUGAACCAGACCUGCUUGCUAGUGUCGCGUGGGCUUUGAAAAGCACAGAUUACUGUGACACAUACCAUUUUGUGCAAAUCUCAUCUUUAUCUCUCUGAUGUUGAUAAGAUGAGAUGCUUCAUCAACUCCACAUCUAGAAAUGUCACAUCUCAUUAUAAACCCAUUCACAUCUCAGACUGAUAAGUAACAGAUAAUCAUUACCGCAGUCUCAUCUCUCUACUGGGUUAGCAAUCAUAUCUUGGC